CACGUAGGGGCCAAGCGUUGUCCGGAUUUAUUGGGCGUAAAGAGCUCGUAGGCGGUUCAGCAAGUCGGGUGUGAAAACUCUGGGCUCAACCCAGAGACGCCACCCGAUACUGCUGUGACUAGAGUCCGGUAGGGGAGUGGGGAAUUCCUGGUGUAGCGGUGAAAUGCACAGAUAUCAGGAGGAACACCGGUGGCGAAGGCGCCACUCUGGGCCGGCACUGACGCUGAGGAGCGAAAGCGUGGGGAGCAAACAGG
rnacentral:rRNA from 1 species